rnacentral:rRNA from 1 species
CCCGCUGAACUUAAGCAUAUCAAUAAGCGGAGGAAAAGAAACUAACAAGGAUUCCCCUAGUAACUGCGAGUGAAGCGGGAAAAGCUCAAAUUUAAAAUCUGGCGUGCCUCUGGCCGUCCGAGUUGUAGUCUGGAGAAGUGCUUUCCGUGCUGGACCAUGUACAAGUCCCUUGGAAUAGGGUGUCACAGAGGGUGAGAAUCCCGUCUUUGACAUGGACUACCAGUGCUUUGUGAUGCGCUCUCAAAGAGUCGAGUUGUUUGGGAAUGCAGCUCAAAAUGGGUGGUAAAUUCCAUCUAAAGCUAAAUAUAGGCGAGAGACCGAUAGCGAACAAGUACCGUGAGGGAAAGAUGAAAAGCACUUUGGAAAGAGAGUUAAACAGUACGUGAAAUUGCUGAAAGGGAAACGCUUGAAGUCAGUCGUGUCUGCUGGGACUCAGCCUUGCUAUUUGCUUGGUGCACUUUCCAGUUUGACAGGCCAGCAUCGAUUUUGACUGUUGGAAAAAGAUUAAGGAAAUGUGGCACCUUCUGGGUGUGUUAUAGUCCUUAGUUGUAUACAACAGUUGGGAUCGAGAAUCGCAGCACGCCUUUAUGGCCGGGGUUUUUGCCCACAUACGUGCUUAGGAUGCUGGCAUAAUGGCUUUAAGCGACCCGUCUUGAAACACGG